GUGGGGAAUUUUGGACAAUGGGCGAAAGCCUGAUCCAGCCAUGCCGCGUGCAGGAUGAAGGCCUUCGGGUUGUAAACUGCUUUUGUACGGAACGAAAAGACUCUGGUUAAUACCUGGGGUCCAUGACGGUACCGUAAGAAUAAGCACCGGCUAACUACGUGCCAGCAGCCGCGGUAAUACGUAGGGUGCAAGCGUUAAUCGGAAUUACUGGGCGUAAAGCGUGCGCAGGCGGUUAUAUAAGACAGAUGUGAAAUCCCCGGGCUCAACCUGGGAACUGCAUUUGUGACUGUAUAGCUAGAGUACGGCAGAGGGGGAUGGAAUUCCGCGUGUAGCAGUGAAAUGCGUAGAUAUGCGGAGGAACACCGAUGGCGAAGGCAAUCCCCUGGGCCUGUACUGACGCUCAUGCACGAAAGCGUGGGGAGCAAACAGGAUUAGAAACCCCAGUAGUCC
rnacentral:rRNA from 1 species